AAUAUUGGGACAUAUAAAAAAAGACAACUCUGUUCCGCAGAGUAGCUGUUGACGUUAUAGUUGCGCAGGCACUUUGUUGACUCUAGAGAACUUCGGGGCAAAUCGCACAUCCCGUGACACAGACUUUGCAUUCGGAUGUCAUCCAUAUCAACUUUCAAUGCCAGUUUCUGCGCUUACCAUGGUGACUACGGGUAACGGGGAAUCAGGGUUCCAUUCCGUACAGGGACCCUGAGAAACGGCUACCACAUGCAAGGAAUGCAGCAGGCGUGCAAAUGACCCACUCCCAACGCGGGCAGGUAGUGA